rnacentral:rRNA from 1 species
UACGUAGGGGGCAAGCGUUGUCCGGAUUUAUUGGGCGUAAAGAGCGUGUAGGCGGCUUGUUAAGUCAGGGGUGAAAGUUUUCGGCCCAACCGGAAAAUUGCCUUUGAUACUGGCGAGCUCGAGUGCGUGAGGGGUAACCGGAACGAGUGGUGUAGCGGUGAAAUGCGUAGAUAUCACUCGGAAGGCCAAAGGCGAAGGCAGGUUACUGGUACGCAACUGACGCUGAGGCACGAAAGCGUGGGGAGCAAACAGG